rnacentral:lncRNA from 1 species
CGGCCACAUAUUUAAGUGAUUUUCUUUCCGUAGCUGGAUGGAAAUUGUUUCUCAUUUUACUUUAUUUGUACCAUUUAAUUUUGUUUAAGUUCAUCCCAUUUUUUCUUUUUAACGUUUUGUUUGACCCUUCUGUUUUAUCUUGGUGCUUGGUUUGAUGGAUCGAUUGGAGAAGCAGCAGAAAGGAUGUACAGAAUGAAUUCUGAAUGUGAUGAAUUGAUGGAGGAAGAGGAUGAAGAAGAGAGCGAUGACGAAGAGGGGAGUGAGAGCAGUUUUGAUUUUUUAAUUAGGUUUGUGCACAGUAUGUUCAAGUGCUAGGAAAGCUACUUGUUCACUGCCCGACGUCAUUUCUCCACAGCUUGUAUCUGAAUUAUUUGUUGAGCAUAUAAAUAAUGUUGGUGGAUCUUAAGUUAGAGGCUUGCAUUGUGAUUAUUAGAAAAAAAUUGUAUAUAUUUAAUAAAAAAUAUAUGUACUCUAGCUGACAAAUAUAUGUCACAAAAAUACAGUAAAAAAUAAUAUGAGGAAGUCAUAUAACCUCGCAAAGUUG